GGAGGUGUGUCCGAACUGGCUAAGGAGCCGGUCUUGAAAAUCGGUGGUGGUCAAACCACCGUGUGGGUUCGAAUCCCACCGCCUCCGCCA
rnacentral:tRNA from 2 species